CCCUAGUAACUGCGAGUGAAGCGGGAAAAGCUCAAAUUUAAAAGCUGGCGGUCUUAGGCCGUCCGCGUUGUAAUCUAGAGAAGUGUUAUCCGCGCUGGACCGUGUACAAGUCUCCUGGAAUGGAGCGUCAUAGAGGGUGAGAAUCCCGUCUUUGACACGGACUGCCAGGGCUUUGUGAUGCGCUCUCAAAGAGUCGAGUUGUUUGGGAAUGCAGCUCAAAAUGGGUGGUAAAUUCCAUCUAAAGCUAAAUAUUGGCGAGAGACCGAUAGCGAACAAGUACCGUGAGGGAAAGAUGAAAAGAACUUUGGAAAGAGAGUUAAACAGUACGUGAAAUUGCUGAAAGGGAAACGCUUGAAGUCAGUCGCGUUUGCCAGGGAUCAACCUUGCUUUUGCUGGGCGUACUCUCUGGUUGACGGGCCAGCAUCAAUUUCGGUCACUGGAAAAAUUCCAAGGGAAUGUGGCAUCUUCGGAUGUGUUAUAGCCUUUGGUUGCAUGCAGUGGCUGGGAUUGAGGAACUCAGCACGCCGAAAGGCAGGGUCGUCUUUGACCACAUUCGUGCUUAGGAUGCUGGCAUAAUGGCUUUAAUCGACCCGUCUUGAAACACGGACCAAGGAGUCUAACAUGCCUGCGAGUGUUUGGGUGGAAAACCCGAGCGCGUAAUGAAAGUGAAAGUUGAGAUCCCUGUCGCGGGGAGCAUCGACGCCCGGACCAGAGCUUUUGUGACGGAUCUGCGGUAGAGCAUGUAUGUUGGGACCC
rnacentral:rRNA from 1 species